rnacentral:rRNA from 1 species
AUUGAACGCUGGCGGCAUGCCUAACACAUGCAAGUCGAACGGUAACAGGAAGAAGCUUGCUUCUUUGCUGACGAGUGGCGGACGGGUGAGUAAUGUCUGGGAAACUGCCUGAUGGAGGGGGAUAACUACUGGAAACGGUAGCUAAUACCGCAUAACGUCGCAAGACCAAAAAGGGGGACCUUCGGGCCUCUUGCCAUCGGAUGUGCCCAGAUGGGAUUAGCUAGUAGGUGGGGUAACGGCUCACCUAGGCGACGAUCCCUAGCUGGUCUGAGAGGAUGACCAGCCACACUGGAACUGAGACACGGUCCAGACUCCUACGGGAGGCAGCAGUGGGGAAUAUUGCACAAUGGGCGCAAGCCUGAUGCAGCCAUGCCGCGUGUAUGAAGAAGGCCUUCGGGUUGUAAAGUACUUUCAGCGGGGAGGAAGGGAGUAAAGUUAAUACCUUUGCUCAUUGACGUUACCCGCAGAAGAAGCACCGGCUAACUCCGU